rnacentral:misc_RNA from 1 species
GAUGAAGAACGUAGCGAAACGCGAUAUGUAAUGUGAAUUGCAGAAUUCAGUGAAUCAUCGAAUCUUUAAACGCACAUGGCGCCUUCCAGUAUCCUGGGAGGCAUGCCUGUCCGAGCGUCGUUUCAACCCUCGAGCCCCCGUGGCCCGGCGUUGGGGAUCUGCCCAGGCAGUCCCCGAAAACUAGUGGCGGACCCGUUACAGGCCCUUCCCUUGCGUAGUAGCAUUCGCCUCGCAUCGGGAGCCAGCGGGCUUCCAGCCUCUAAACCCCCAUCAAGUCCGCCCCGGCGGCACCAAGGUUGACCUCGGAUCAGGUAGGAAUACCCGCUGAACUUAAGCAUAUCAAUAAGCGGAGGA